rnacentral:rRNA from 1 species
GAAUAUAAUUUAAAUACCCUGAAGGCAUCAGAUCUCAUCAGAUUUUAGAAGCUAAACAGAACCAGACCUGGUUAGUAUUUGGAUGGGGGCUGGCAAGGAAUACCAGGUGCUGUGGGUU